ensembl:lncRNA
UAACUACUCGGUAUACACUUGUUGAAUGGAUGGGGGGGGGUGUGUGAACAACCGGAAGCAGAGGGGCCUGGGCCACCCAGGAAGUUGAGUCUGCACUGACCUCAGCGAAGAAAAAUCGCGGGGACAGUAGUAAGACGGGGUGUGGCCCGGACAAAAACUGCAGCGACCUCCCCGUCGGGGAAUCGAACCCCGGUCUCCCGCGUGACAGGCGGGGAUACUCACCACUAUACUAACGAGGACUGGUGCUGCUAGCUAGUGCUCGGGCGGCUCCCUUAAAGGAAUCUCGUUUUUCUCGCGCAUUCUACGGACUCGGAUGCGUUCGCUGGUGGCACGAGCCGUGUUCGGCUUGCGGACGUGGACAUUAGGCGGCCCCCAAUUCCCGCUGGGUCCAAGGCUGCGGCGCUGGGGUGCAGGGUGCGGAAAAGGCAGCCGCAGGGGACCCACACUGCGGACACAAAAGAGGACGCGCCGCGGGGCGGGAGCGAGCUUGCAAAGAAAAGACAAGCUGCCGAAACCCGGGAUCGAACCCAGGGGACCUUUAGAUCUUCAGUCUAACGCUCUCCCAACUGAGCUAUUUCGGCAACUGCUCUGGCUGGCCUCCUUUCGGUCCUCCCUGUCAUGCACACAGCCUGGACCUGCAGUCCCUGGGUUUCAUGUCCGCCCCUGCCCAGCCUUCAAGGUUGCCGCCUCCGCCUUCCAGCGCGGCCCGAGGCUGCCUGCUCAAUGCUGGCUCAUGGCUCACUAUCUUUGUCCCUUACCUGCCAAGGGGAGCAGGGAGGGGGCUGCCUGGGCCACGGCGGUGCCCGAGGGCCUGGACACCCUGGGGCCCGUCUGGGGGGCUUUGUAAAUAUGUGUUGACCCAACCGGCCAGCAGUGAAGGAAUCCCACCUCGCUCGGAGCUUGGCUUCCUCAAGCUCCCUUCUCCACACAAGGCUCACCCUCGGGGCCGGCUUGGGAGGGCGGCGCCGGGGGAUGCCGACCGUGCCGAGGCUUGUGGUCACAGGUGGCCGCCACACCUGUGCGCACCUGCUCAGCUUCCAGUCGAGCAGUUGGAUGUCGGGCACGCAGAGGGCCCCGGAUCCCACCUGCCAGCGGCUUGUCAGUCACUCGGAAGGCACAGGAGCACGCCCCGAGUGGCCACCGCGGCCGGCGCUGACGCGUGCACACUUCUGGAGGCCAGGAGCCCUGAGUCACGGUGCCGGCCAGUGCACACAUCACGGCGCCCCUGGUGAGAGCCCCCAGAUGCUGGCAUCGCACCGGCCUUCCUUCUGCGAAGACGUCCUGUGGCCCGGGCAGGCGCAGCGGUGAGGGCCUCUUUCCAGUCCACGCAGAACCAGCGCCUUGUCCUCGGUCUGCAACUUGACUCUAAAUCAGAAGGUGCUUAGUGCCAACCAUCGGAGAAGCCUGCAGCUGGGAGUUCUCAUCACCGCCGCCUGUCGGUCCUGCUGGGCCAGGCACACGAGGGGACGCCAGCAGGACACACGGGCAGCUCACGUUUCCUGUCCUGGAUCUGACGUUAAGAAAACGCAGCAAGACCCAUUUUCAUUCACCAAGCGGAAGAGAGAUCCUCAGUGAGAGCCAAGGAGCCACCGGGCUGCACCCCACGGAGCAUAGCGGUCUCUCCCCAAGUCCUCCGCGUUAGGGGGCAGACGGCUGUGUGAGCCGUGCAGCGCUGGGAGGGCUCAGUCCGCAUGGCCGUGUGCUGUCCCGUCUCCUCACCCCUGUGCCCCCCUCCCCACUUGGUCCAACAGAGGCACAGCUCUGCCUCCAGACGGUCCUCUCCACUCCUCGCCUUCCUCCUCCAGGCAAACUCUGCAUUUUAAAUUUUUUUCUUUUUCCCCAAAGCAAAUCUCUCUCUGUCUGUCUCUGUCUCUAGGAACCGAGGUGAGACUCACAUAACAUGACCGUCCCCAUUCUAACGUGGCGCUUGGCGCAUCCUGGCUCUGUCUAGUUCCCCAGAAGGGAACCCGCACCCACAUUCAGGCCUCCCCGUGUUCUCCCCCAGCCCCUUGCUACCUGUCCCCAAGAUUUGGGUCAUAAGAAAAAGGGGGGAACCCCAACAAAAUGCAUAAGCGUCACAGGCCAAGCACGAAGUUUGGUCUACUUAGAGUCUAGGAGCAAGCUUUCUCUGUGAAUUCUGGCGAGUCGACUUUGCUCCGCGGGCAGGGCCCUCCCCGUGACCGCGGCUGUGGGUACCUCCGGAUUUUGCCCAGCGACUGGCGGAAUCUAUUU